AAAGAAAGAAAGAAACGAAACAGGGAGUCUUAAGUGAGAAACCAGCUACCCUUUUUGGCGGGUUCUGAUUCCAGAGUGGUCCUCAGCUUUUCUUUGGGAUGCUGGACAUCGUUCAAACGUGUUCACUAGACUUAACUGAAAUCUCCUCCCUUCUCGGAGAAAGCCGUAAAUUGGGUGAUUCAUUUCCCAUUCCUACUUCAACAGCUGGGUGCUUUAAAUGCCCCCUAAAAUUGUUUCUAAAACCUUAGGAUCCUUGUUACCUGAGUCAAGUUUUUUGACUGAGUUUGUUUUGGAUUUGUAUUAGGCUUGUGGCUACCUUGAAAAGAAAUGUGACAGCGUAUCACAGAGUGCAGCUGUAGAUAAUAGGCAUAAUCAACUAUUGCUGAGUCUCUACAAUCAAAACAAACAGCAAAGUUUAAUGAGCUGUACAAGUCUUCCAGGGACAGGAAGAUCCCGUGUCUACGGGCUACGGCAAGCCUGCGAAUGAGCAGUGUGUGACUCUUGGGCCGGUGAAAUCAAAGGACCCGGAAUCGUUUGCCUUUUUGUUUUCAUAGAUUUUGGCUUCUAAGCAUCUGUCUCGUCACCCUACAAAUACAGACUUGCCAAACAUCUGGACUUUAACUUUUAAAAAUAAUAAAUAUUGCGGAUCACAUGAAGCCUUGUUCCCACCGGGUGAGCAGGAGAUGGGAUGUGACAGAUUCUCUGAAAUCUACUUAACCAGCCCGUUUACAUGGAGGAGAUUAAAAUUGUUCUAGAAAGACUACAAAAAGAAAACAUAAAAAUUUACCUCUGCACAUUCAAAAAGGCUAUUUCAUGGUUCAGGACCCAGUAAAGAAUCCACCACCGCCGACUCCCGGUUAAUAUAAAAGAAGGACAUUAAUAUAAAAGUCUGUCCCAUGGGUACAGUUGACUUGAAGAAUGUAACAGCCUUUGUUUUUUUUCUUCACUGUAGCCGUAAACUGAAUUCUUGUUAAUUUCCUGUCCCCUUUUCAGAAGCUUAAGCACAUUUUUCUGGGUAGUUUUGAGAAAGCACAGCUUGUAUCUUUCUUUGUUCCCAUAAUGUCGCUAUAAACCACACGCUGGAGAUAAAUGCCACCAAGACCUCUACGCCUCCAAGAUAGGAAACUGCCAGGAGUUGUGUGCAUGCCUGCCUCACGUGACAAGCGAAGUGUCCCCUGGUUGCCCCUGUUUUCUUUCUGUAUCCUAGGUUGAAAAACAAAAUAAAUCAGAGGGCUUUGACUGUU